rnacentral:misc_RNA from 1 species
UCCUGGUUAACCCAGGCAGUCUCAUUAGAGUUCCCAGCCGAAACUGUUGGCAACUAAUGACAAGGGUUGCGCUCGUUGCGGGACUUAACCCAACACCUCACGGCACGAGCUGACGACAGCCAUGCAGCACCUGUGCAGCAGUCCCUAAGGAAGACUCCAUCUCUGGAGCUGUCUACUGCAUGUCAAGCCUGGGUAAGGUUCUUCGCGUUGCAUCGAAUUAAACCACAUGCUCCACUGCUUGUGCGGGCCCCCGUCAAUUCUUUUGAGUUUCACUCUUGCGAGCGUACUCCCCAGGCGGUGUACUUAACGCGUUAGCUUCGACACAGCUGGGGUUGAGUCCAGCUACAUCAAGUACACAUCGUUUACGGUGAGGACUAC